rnacentral:rRNA from 1 species
CCUACGGGCCGCAGCAGUGGGGAAUAUUGCACAAUGGGCACAAGCCUGAUGCAGCCAUGCCGCGUGUAUGAAGAAGGCCUUCGGGUUGUAAAGUACUUUCAGCGGGGAGGAAGGUGUUGUGGUUAAUAACCACAGCAAUUGACGUUACCCGCAGAAGAAGCACCGGCUAACUCCGUGCCAGCAGCCGCGGUAAUACGGAGGGUGCAAGCGUUAAUCGGAAUUACUGGGCGUAAAGCGCACGCAGGCGGUCGGUCAAGUCGGAUGUGAAAUCCCCGGGCCCAACCUGGGAACUGCAUUCGAAACUGGCAGGCUAGAGUCUUGUAGAAGGGGGUAGAAUUCCAGGUGUAGCGGUGAAAUGCGUAGAGAUCUGGAGGAAUACCGGUGGCGAAGGCAGCCCCCUGGACAAAGACUGACGCUCAGGUGCGAAAGCGUGGGGAGCAAACAGGAUUAGAUACCCCUGUAGUC